GAUGAACGCUAGCGGCAGGCUUAAUACAUGCAAGUCGAGGGGUAGCAAGAUUGUAGCAAUACAAUUGUUGACGACCGGCAAACGGGUGCGGAACACGUACACAACCUUCCUACAAGUGGGGAAUAGCCCAGAGAAAUUUGGAUUAAUACCCCGUAACAUAGCGAUGUGGCAUCACAUUGCUAUUAUAGCUUCGGCGCUUGUUGAUGGGUGUGCGGCUGAUUAGGUAGUUGGCGGGGUAACGGCCCACCAAGCCUGCGAUCAGUAACUGGUGUGAGAGCACGACCAGUCACACGGGCACUGAGACACGGGCCC
rnacentral:rRNA from 1 species